GAACAUUUUCCAGAAGAACAGAUAACAGAGAUCAACAGCAAUAAUUGACGAUUGCUUCAUAGAAAUAAAGCAAAAUUUUUUUGAGAAUAAAAUAUAAUUUUAUUUUUUUGUUGUUUUGUGAUAAAGAAGGAAGAGGAAAAAGUUGAGUAUAAGAUGAAAAGUAGAUGGAAAUAAAUGGUAAGUGAUGAUGCUACUGCAAACAGAGAUUUUGAUUUGGUUUGAUAGCAACGCUUAACCCGUUCAUUGGCCUCCCCCUCUGCAUGUGCGAGCUGAAGAUUGGCUCCAGCAAGUCGCCCCCGCGUUUUCCGAAACCGCCCGCUCUAUGAUCCACUGAAGAACCAAAUAUUUUUGCGGUUACUGAGUGGACUUUACAGAUUCCAUUUUCGAACUUCGAAAGUUGGUCGCCGGAGGGAGAUUUCGUCGCUUCAGCGACAGGUACGAGCUCUGUUUUUUCAGUUUCUGACCAUUUACUGAUGUGUGGUUGCUGCAUUUUGUCGAAUUCGACAUUGGUGUUCUUUUAGUUCGGAUUUGAGGAUUGUUGUUUUCAUGGUUUUUUGUUGGAGUUUGUUUGAAGUUCUUCGUUUAGGGUAUACUGAUUCAGUGUUUUUGCUGUGGAUUCUGUCAAUUUGAAGCGAUUUGGAUGAGAUUGGUGAUAUGGAUUUGGAUUACAUUGCGAGGUUUAUGUGUAAAAUGAUUUUCAAAUCGGGAAUGUGAGUGUAGUGUACUGGAUUUUGUGCUUGUUUAAGGGUCUGUGAAUUGGACUAUGGCUUCACCUUCUCCUUCUCCGGCGGCGGAGUCUGCCACAUCUUCCUCAUCUCCUACAUCUUCUGAGCCUAAUCAGUCUGGCGAACCUCCUUCAUCAUCUUCUAGUUCUUCAGCUCCGCCUCCUCAUUCACCACCACCAGCAGUUUCUGAUGCUCCUCCUCCUUCUCCUCCAUUGACAGCAUCACCACCUGCACCACCAACAUCCCCUCCUUCUCCCCUUGCUGGUUCACCGUCUUCGCCUCCGCAAUCUUCGGCCUCACCGCCGCCACCUUCAACAUCAACCUCUGCACCACCACCUUCAACAUCAACCUCUGCACCACCACCUUCAACAUCAACCUCUGCACCACCGCCUUCAACAUCAACCUCUGCACCUCCGCCUUCAACGUCAACCUCUCCACCACCGCCUUCAAGAUCAACCUCUCCACCACCACGUUCAUCAACAUCACCACCACCUUCCUCUGCAUCACCUCCUCCCCCAAAACAAUCCGUUUCCUAUCCUCCUCCUCCCGAAGCUUCACCUCCCCCUUCUGAUUUAUCACCUCCGCCGCCGCCACCAGCAGCAGGUGGUUCUCCCCCUCCUCUAUCCAAUCCUAGACCUCCACCUUCUACUCCCCCUCCCCCUCCCCCUGAUAUUAUUUCACCUUCUCCUCCUCCAUCAGCUAAUGUCCCAACACCACCUUCACCAACAGGAGAAUCACCUAAAGUAUCUCCUCCAUCCCACAAGGCAUCUCCUCCUCCUCCUGAUCAUAGCUCCCCUCCACCAAGAUCUACAGUACCAUCGCCCCCUCCUUCUUCAGUCCCUUCAUCAUCUGCUCCUCCUCCAGUUAGUGAUCCUGGUUCUCCAACCAUUUCAUCAGGGGGAAGUCCUGUUACCCCUUCAACUUCAGUUACACCAGAACGGCCAAUUCCAAUAAUCAAUGGUACCAGUGUUGCAACAAAUACCCCAACCACUGGUAAAAGGGGUUUCAGCACUGGAACAUUUGUGGCAGUUGGCAGCGUGGUUGGUGUUCUAGUGCUGAGUCUUGUUAUCAUGGCAAUUUGGUUUGUUCAGAAACGGAAGAGAAGAAAGAAGAAUAUCCCUUACACCGUGUCUUCUCCUUUUUCCUCCCAAAACUCAGAUGCCUUUUUCCUGAGAGCCCAAUCUUUAGCUAAUGUGGUUGGAAGUCGAAACGAUAGCGAUUUCAAGUAUGCGUCAUCAGAAGGAGGUGGAGUAGGUAAUUCAAGAUCGUUUGCUUAUGAAGAGCUACACCAGGCCACAAGUGGGUUUUCAUUGAAUAGUCUUUUGGGGGAAGGUGGAUUUGGUUGUGUGUACAGAGGCACCCUUGCAGAUGGAAGAGAUGUAGCCGUUAAACAACUUAAAGUGGGUGGUGGACAGGGAGAACGAGAGUUCAGAGCUGAAGUUGAAAUUAUUAGCCGAGUACACCAUCGACAUUUGGUUUCCCUGGUUGGUUACUGUAUCUCUGACCAUCAAAGAUUGCUUGUCUAUGACUAUGUUCCAAACAAUACCCUUCAUUAUCAUCUGCACGGUGAAAACAGGACAGUUUUGGCUUGGGCUUCACGUGUUCGAAUUGCUUCUGGUGCAGCCCGUGGAAUUGCUUACCUACAUGAAGAUUGUCAUCCACGCAUUAUUCACAGGGAUAUUAAAUCGUCUAACAUUCUGCUUGAUAUCAACUUCGAAGCUCAGGUCGCAGAUUUCGGGCUUGCUAAAUUGGCAUUGGAUUCACUGACUCAUGUAACGACUCGUGUUAUGGGAACCUUUGGAUACAUGGCGCCAGAGUAUGCAACAAGUGGGAAAUUGACUGAUAAAUCUGACGUUUUCUCUUUUGGGGUUGUACUUUUGGAGUUAAUUACUGGUCGCAAGUCUGUAGAUUCUUCUCAGCCCCUGGGAGAUGAGAGCUUAGUUGAAUGGGCUCGACCGCUGCUGGCACAAGCUAUUGAGGAUGAGAACUUUGAAGAAUUGGUGGAUCCAAGGCUAGACAACAAUUAUGUCGACAGAGAAAUGUUUCGAAUGAUCGAAGCAGCCGCUGCCUGCGUUCGUCAUUCAGCCGUAAAGAGGCCAAGAAUGAGUCAGGUGGUGAGAGCUCUAGACUCUUUAGAUGAAAUGUCAGAUCUUUCAAAUGGGGUGAAACCUGGACAGAGUGAAGUGUUUGAUUCAGCUGAACAUUCGGCUCAGAUUAGAAUGUUUCAGAGAAUGGCUUUUGGCAGUCAAGAUUACAGUUAUGGUUACUCCGAUCGAGAUCGAGAUCGAGAUCAGAGUCGAAGUUAUAGUCAAAGUCAGAGUAGCUGGAGUAGAGAAUCGAGAGAUCAAAGUCCAUCGGUGCCAAAUAAUCGAUCCCGGCACGUCUGAUAUGUGUGUAUGAAGCUCAUUUUACAUGUGUUGCAGAUUUUGGAGCUGGAAUCAGGUCCUACCAUUCAAUUCUUUGUAAAUCUCUGCUCAUUUAUUCUCAGUGGUAAGUAUAUGAAUUUUGAAGAAUGAUUCUUUCUUGGCAUCAUGUCUGGUUUUUGGGAUGAAUUUACCUCCCCAUAUCUUGUUUUAGUUUCAAGGGCCGAGAGAUUUGAGUUUAAGAUUU